rfam:Chryseobacterium sp. SCN 40-13 ABS44_C0032, whole genome shotgun sequence.
UACUUUUGCACCUCGUUACAUAAUAAUCAUUAAAUAAUAUUGGCAUG